GCAUAGUGUAGUGUAGUGGUUUGAGUGUUGGACUAUGACUCUGGAGACCAGGGUUCAAAUCCCAGUUUGGCCA